GCAUUAAUGGGGUAGUGGUAACCUGGGUCGUUGCCAUGAUUCGAACGUCGUGAGUUCGACCCGCCGGGGGUUCGAUUCCCCCUUAAUGCA